AACCCAUGGUGAGGGCAUCUUCACAAAAGGUCCUUGUAUCUCUCUCAUGCGUCAUAGAGUGUUUCUAAAUCCAACUACACAAAAGAGGAAAUAUCGUUACGUAAUUU
rfam:Gossypium arboreum cultivar AKA8401 contig_80196_1, whole genome shotgun sequence.